rnacentral:misc_RNA from 1 species
UGGCCAAGGGGGGAGCGAUCUGAGCAGAGCCACGACGUAGCCCGCCGUGUCCGCGAUCGGCUGCUGCCGAUCGCGCGAUCCUUCGGCGCGACGCUGCAGGUGGCAGAGGUGCCACCCGGACCGCCGGUGCUGCAGACGCUGGUCGCGGAGGUGUAUGGGCCCGACGCUGGCCGUCGGAUGGAGGUGGCCGCACAGGUCAAGGCGAUCUUCGAGCAGACCCCCGGCGUGGUCGAUACCGACUGGUACGUUGAGACGCCACAUCCGAAGGUCAUGCUCGUCGUGGACGGCGAGAAGGCCGCCGCCGCUGGACUGUCGUCCGCCGCCGUUGCGUCGGUGGUCCGGAUGGCCGGGUCGGGAGAGAUCGUCGGGCUCCUCCACGAUGCGCAGGCGCGCGAAGAUGUUCCGAUCGUGAUGCGGCUGCCACGCGCGGCCCGCAGCCUCGAGGCCGUGCAGUCCCUGCGGCUCGCCGGCAACAGACCGAUCGCCGUCGGCGAAGUGACUCAGGCCAUUCGUUCGCAGGCGGACACGAGCCUGUAUCACAAGAACCUGCAGGCCGUCACUUAUGUGACGGGCGAUCUGGCCGGGCAGAACGAGAGCCCCGUGUACGCGAUCCUCGCGAUGAACAAGGCCAUCGCGCGACUGACGCUGCCCGAAGGAUACGCGCUCGAGGUCUUCAACGCGACGCAGCCGUUCGACACGUCGAAGUACGCGAUGAAAUGGGACGGCGAGUGGCACAUCACCAUCGAGGUGUUUCGCGACCUCGGACUGGCGUUCGCCGCGGUGCUCGUCCUCAUCUACGUGCUCGUGGUGGGGUGGUUCCAGUCGUUCCGCACGCCGCUCCUCAUCAUGGCCGCCAUCCCCUUCUCACUCGUCGGCAUCCUGCCCGCACACGCGGCGAUGGGCGCCUUCUUCACGGCGACCUCGAUGAUCGGCUUCAUUGCCGGCGCCGGCAUCGUGGUCCGCAACUCGAUCAUCCUGGUGGACUUUAUCGAGCUGCGUCUCCGCGAGGGCUUGCCGCUCGAGCAGGCGGUCGUCGACGCCGGUGCCGUGCGGUUCCGGCCGAUGGCGCUGACCGCCGCGGCGGUCAUUGUCGGCGCCGGUGUGAUUCUGUUCGAUC